rnacentral:rRNA from 1 species
GACGAACGCUGGCGGCGUGCCUAAUACAUGCAAGUCGAGCGGACUUUCAAGAAGCUUGCUUUUUGAAAGUUAGCGGCGGACGGGUGAGUAACACGUGGGCAACCUGCCUGCAAGACUGGGAUAACUCCGGGAAACCGGGGCUAAUACCGGAUAAUAUCUUCCUUCGCAUGAAGGAAGGUUGAAAGGCGGCGCAAGCUGCCGCUUGCAGAUGGGCCCGCGGCGCAUUAGGUAGUUGGUGAGGUAACGGCUCACCAAGGCGACGAUGCGUAGCCGACCUGAGAGGGUGGUCGGCCACACUGGGACUGGGACACGGCCCAGACUCCUACGGGAGGCAGCAGUAGGGAAUCUUCCGCAAUGGACGAAAGUCUGACGGAGCAACGGCGCGUGAGCGAAGAAGGUCUUCGGAUCGUAAAGAUCGGUUGUCAGGGAAGAACAAGUACCGUUCGAACAGGGCGGUACCUUGACGGUACCUGACCAGAAAGCCACGGCUAACUACGUG